GCAUAAUCAGGCUGAGAGAGAGAGUGAGAGAAUGGUGAACACUUUCAAGAUUUACAAACCCUUGUUGCGAGCGACCAUGAAGCUCGCCGGCGUGAGACCUCAAAAGAUCGAGGUCGAACCGGGGACUGUCAUGAACAUCUGGGCUCCGACCCGAUCCAAGAAGAAUGCCAACAACGGUAAAAAACCUGCCGUCGUCUUCCUCCACGGCUUCGUGGGCGACGGCAUCCUGACGUGGCAGUUCAAGUCCUCGCUCUUGCGAGGACUAUGCGGUCUACGUGCCGGACCUCCUCUUCUUCGGCGGUUCCUCUACCGGCGACGGCCGCCGGACUGUGGGAUUCCAGGCGGAGUGCCUGGCAAAGGGGCUGGCAAAGCUGGGAGUGCAACAGUGCACAGUGGUCGGGUUCAGCUACGGCGCGGUGGUGGCGUUCAGGUUGGCCGAGUUGCAGCCUGAGCUGGUCGAGUCGGUGGUGGCGACGUCCUCUGGCCCGGUGGUGACAGAGUCGCUGAGCCGAGAGUGCUUAGAGAGGUUGGGGUUUCCGACAUGGUCGGAAGUUCUGUUGCCUGAUUCGGCGAGUGCACUGAAGAAGUUGCUAGAAAUUGGCAGCUUCCACUUCCCUAGACUCCCCAAAUGUGUUUUCAAGCACGCUUUAGAGAGCGUGAGAGUCAAAACCCACUCCUAAAAUGAAAUCGUCCCCACC